rnacentral:rRNA from 1 species
GACGAACGCUGGCGGCGUGCUUAACACAUGCAAGUCGAACGGAAAGGCCCUGCUUUUGUGGGGUGCUCGAGUGGCGAACGGGUGAGUAACACGUGAGUAACCUGCCCUUGACUUUGGGAUAACUUCAGGAAACUGGGGCUAAUACCGGAUAGGAGCUCCUGCUGCAUGGUGGGGGUUGGAAAGUUUCGGCGGUUGGGGAUGGACUCGCGGCUUAUCAGCUUGUUGGUGGGGUAGUGGCUUACCAAGGCUUUGACGGGUAGCCGGCCUGAGAGGGUGACCGGCCACAUUGGGACUGAGAUACGGCCCAGACUCCUACGGGAGGCAGCAGUGGGGAAUAUGGCACAAUGGGCGGAAGCCUGAUGCAGCAACGCCGCGUGCGGGAGGACGGCCUUCGGGUGGUAAACCGCUUUCGCCUGUGACGAAGCGUGAGUGACGGUAAUGGGUAAAGAAGCACCGGCGAACUACGU